rnacentral:tRNA from 1 species
GAGGGCAUAGCUCAGUGGCAGAGCAUAUGCCUAGCAUGCACAAGGUCCUGGGUUCAAUCCCCAGUACCUCCA